AUACGUAGGGGGCGAGCGUUGUCCGGAAUUAUUGGGCGUAAAGGGUUCGUAGGCGGUUAUUUAAGUCAGGUGUGAAAGGCAUGGGCUUAACCUGUGUAAGCACUUGAAACUGGAUAACUUGAGUUAAGGAGAGGAAAGUGGAAUUCCUAGUGUAGCGGUGAAAUGCGUAGAUAUUAGGAGGAAUACCAGUGGCGAAGGCGACUUUCUGGACUUAUACUGACGCUGAGGAACGAAAGCGUGGGGAGCAAACAGGAUUAGAUACCCUGGUAGUCCACGCCGUAAACGAUGAGUGCUAGGUGUUGGAGGGAAACCUUCGGUGCCGCAGCUAACGCAUUAAGCACUCCGCCUGGGGAGUACGUACGCAAGUAUGAA
rnacentral:rRNA from 1 species